AGCAGCCGCGGUAAUUCCAGCUCCAAUAGCGUAUAUUAAAGUUGUUACAGUUAAAAAGCUCGUAGUUGAAUUUCGGGGUCAGUAAGUUGGUCGUGCCACUGGUAUGUACUGGCUUUACUGAUUCCUCCUUCUUGUAGAACCGUAAUGCCAUUAAGUUGGUGUUGCGGGAAAACAGGACUGUUACUUUGAAAAAAUUAGAGUGUUUAAAGCAAGCUAACGCUUGAAUACAUUAGCAUGGAAUAAUGAAAUAGGACGAACGAUCCUAUUUUGUUGGUUUCUAGGAUUGACGUAAUGAUUAAUAGAGAUAGUUGGGGGCAUUAGUAUUCAAUUGUCAGAGGUGAAAUUCUUGGAUUUAUUGAAGACUAACUACUGCGAAAGCAUUUGCCAAGGAUGUUUUCAUUAAUCAAGAACGAAGGUUAGGGGAUCGAAGACGAUCAGAUACCGUCGUAGUCUUAACCAUAAACUAUGCCGACUAGGGAUCGGAUGAUGUUAAUUUUUAAUGACUCAUUCGGCGCCUUAC
rnacentral:rRNA from 1 species